CUGGCUUUCCUGAUUCUCCAGCCUGCAGACAAUAGAUUGUGAGUCUUCCUGGCCUCCAUAAUUGCAUAAGCCAAUUUCUUUUCCUAUAAGUCAUGUAUAUAGGAUAUGUAUACAUACACAUAUACAUAUCCCAUAGUAGGAUAUUAUUCUGUUUUGUUUUGUUUCUCUGGAGAACCCUAAUAUAGUCAUGUAAGGUCACUCAGUGGGAAGGUCUUGUCCUAGCAGCCAGAGCUAGGAUUGAGUCAUGGGGUUUGGAGACUAUGGGGUCAGUUUGUUUAAAUGCUGAAUUUUUAUCUAUUCUCAAUCCAAAAAAAUAGCAGCAACAUUAUAAGUAAUAUAAAGUAUAAUUUCAGGAUUUUAGCAUUUCCAAAUAUAGAAAUGAGUAAGCCACCUGUAUAAGUAUAAUAAGAAGACACAUUAUUAUCCUAAAAAGCAAUAAUAAUCCUGUGGUUCAGGAUAUAUGAAUUCUUUAUAUAGCAAUUUAGAAAAAAAAUGUGGUCACAGUUUAAGUUGCCAGAUAUAUCACAUUGUAAUUUAAUAUUUUUCACCCUUUGAUUUCCAUAUUUAGCUUAGUACAUUUCCUCAGGGUUUUAUGACAAAUUAUGCCAUUAUUUAUUUUCCAAUUUAUUCAUUAAUUAUGAUUCAAUCAUGAACUUCUCCAGACCUAUUCAAAUGCUGGUACGUAUUUGAAAAAAAAAAUUUCAUUUAAAAUGUACUAAAUAUAGGUGUUCUACUUAUAUGUCAAAUUACACCUGCUCAAAAUUUUAAAUUAUUAUCUAUGUAUAUAGAUUGUUGCUUGUUGUACAUUCUGGGAAGUACAUUCUGACACAGAGCUGGGGGCAAUGAGCCGUUCAUUAAAGGCAAAUCUUGGUGGGUCAGCAUUGUACUGACAGUAGUUUAUCCCCUGUGCUGCUCAGAUCCACUACUUUUUCUUUUAAGCAACUUUUUUUCUAAUUGAAAUGUAGUUGACACACAACAUUACAUUCGUUUCAGGUGUACAGACCCACUUCUUCACAUAUGUUUUGGAACACCUUCUCCCAGAUCCCUGUGGUCCUGUUUUCCAAGGGAAAUUUGGAAGUAGAAGCAACACUGUGAAAAUACAUCUAUGUUAUCUCCUCAAAGAAGAUAACCAGACACUACAAGAAGAUACACUGAGAUCAACUGUAAUUACUUUGGAUAGUUUAACAGUAGAUCGUCUUUGUAAGUAGAAAUUCAUUUACCCUGUUUUUGUUUUGUUUUGUUUGUUUUAGAAUUCCGUCUACUUUUAAGCCUACUAGAACUAAGCUGACUGGAAAAAAGCUUUCAUUAAUCACCUCUGACAUCCAGGGAAACCAAAAACAUAUGAACAGGCAAUGGUUUUGAGUUCUUAUACAGUCUCAAUUAUGUGUUAGUCAACUCAAGCAACCAUUAUGUACUCAAUAAUAGGUAUGACACAGGUCUGGACAUCAGCAACACAAUAAGCGGGCAGGCACAGGCAGCCUACUUAUACUGAUAUUUUAGUAUUAACCUUCGUAAGAAGUAUGGAAGAUAGUAAUGAUAUGUCUUCCUAACUAGAACUUUAUAGUAGUGCUCUACUAGAUUUAUCUCUAUUUUAUUAACAUCAAGACUGCAGAAUAACACUGUCUUAAGAAAUAACAGCGUAGUGUCACAGAGGGAAAGGAAAUGUAGGAUGCCAAUGUGGGGAUAAAUUUCUAAUUGCCAAUGAUUGUUGUGAAUAUAGUGAUAUUUUCCUGAACAUUAAAGCUUCUGUUGUAGGUAGCUACAGCAAUAAAGAAAAA
ensembl:lncRNA